UACGAAGGGUGCAAGCGUUACUCGGAAUUACUGGGCGUAAAGCGUGCGUAGGUGGUUUGUUAAGUCUGCUGUGAAAUCCCCGGGCUCAACCUGGGAAUGGCAGUGGAUACUGGCAAGCUAGAGUGCGGUAGAGGGAUGUGGAAUUCCCGGUGUAGCGGUGAAGUGCGUAGAGAUCGGGAGGAACACCAGUGGCGAAGGCGGCAUCCUGGACCAGCACUGACACUCAGGCACGAAAGCGUGGGGAGCAAACAGG
rnacentral:rRNA from 1 species